UGGGGAAUCUUCCGCAAUGGACGAAAGUCUGACGGAGCAACGCCGCGUGAGUGAAGAAGGUCUUCGGAUUGUAAAACUCUGUUAUACGGGACGAAAAAGACGGAUGCCAACAGUAUCCGUCCGUGACGGUACCGUAAGAGAAAGCCACGGCUAACUACGUGCCAGCAGCCGCGGUAAUACGUAGGUGGCAAGCGUUGUCCGGAAUUAUUGGGCGUAAAGGGCGCGCAGGCGGUUCGGUAAGUCUGUCUUAAAAGUGCGGGGCUUAACCCCGUGAGGGGACGGAAACUGUCGAACUUGAGUGUCGGAGAGGAAAGCGGAAUUCCUAGUGUAGCGGUGAAAUGCGUAGAUAUUAGGAGGAACACCGGUGGCGAAAGCGGCUUUCUGGACGACAACUGACGCUGAGGCGCGAAAGCGUGGGGAGCAAACAGG
rnacentral:rRNA from 1 species